CCUCCUCCUCCUCUCCCCAUUUGUCCGCCGCACAAAGGCGUUCGCACCUACAAAGCCGGAGAUGCACCUGCAAACAAGGCAGUCCCCCUCGCCUGCAACUCCCCCCGGGGCGGCACUUUAUUUGCAAAGCUGCGUAAUUGGUUUAAGCUUGUGGGGAAAGAAGGAGAGACAGAGAAACCAUGUGAGUCACCGUGCUGAGGCAUAAUACUACAGGUUCCCAAUAAAUACGGACAGAGGCCUGAAUGCGGAUCCACUGAUAUUAACCUCCACUUGGCAAACAUCAGAAUUAAGUCAAAUCCUCGAAACAAACAAAACUCUGGAAUCAGCAGAGGAGAACAACAUAUGAAAAUAUGUCUUGAAGGAAAUAAAAUACUUAAAAGCGCUGGAUUAAACUCCUUCUUUCUCAAAUGGUCAAACUACACCCAGAGAAAUUGGAAUAUCUAAGUGGAUAUCUAAUAUCUAAGAAAUAUUAAAAUUGCGGUCUCCAUG